rnacentral:rRNA from 1 species
UGUGGGACAACCCAGUGAAACUUGGGCUAAUACCGCAUAACCCCUGAGGGGGAAAGCGGGGGAUCUUCGCACCUCCCGCUGGAAGAGGAGCCUACGUCUGAUUACCUACUUGGUAGGCUUAGGGCCUACCAAGACGACGAUCGGUAGCUGGUCUGAUGAGGACGACCACCCACACUGGUACCUGAGGCACCGCCCAGACUCCUACGGGAGGCAGCGCUGGGGAGUUUUUCCCAAUGGGGGCGACCCUGACGAAGCAAUGCCUCGUGAAUGAAGAAGGCCUUCGGGUUGUAAAGUUCUUUCGUGGAGGAACGAAAAGGGGGAUGCUAAUAACACCUGCCGUUGAAAUACAUCCAAGAAAAGCACCGGCUAACUCCGUGCCAGCAGCCGCGGUAAUACGA